UAGGAUCUGCCUCAACAUCCUGAAAGACAAGUGGAGUCCUGCACUACAGAUUCGACCUGUACUUCUUAGAAUUCAAGCUUUUUUGAGAGCUCCAAACCCCAAUGAUCCGCUAUAUGAGAAUAUCGCUAAGCAUUGGAAGACAAAUGAGGCUGAAGUUGUGGAAACAGUUUCUAUGUCUUUUGUGGUUUUACUGGGUCUCGGUAACUGGUUCUCCGAUCAUGUGGUACUUUGAAUAAUUGAGAUUCAGAUGACAAAUUUUUAUUAGCUGAUUUGAUCUUUUUCACUUCUUAUGCUUGCGUAAAUAAUCACUUACUAUGGUCCAGUGGAAGGCCAAAAUUUAAUUUUCUGCUCUA